GGCACCACAAGAACGCGUGGAGCAUGUGGCUUAAUUUGACUCAACGCGGGAAAUCUUACCGGGUCCGGACACACUGAGGAUUGACAGGCAAUAUAUGCUUUGCUUACCUUCGCGGUAGGUACUGCAUUGUUAAAUAUGCUAGUCCUUUCAUGAUUAUGUGAUAGGUGGUGCAUGGCCGUUCUUAGUUCGUGGAGUGAUCUGUCUGCUUAAUUGCGUUUCACUUAUUUUAUAGGAUCUAAUAUUAAUGAUGUGUGAGCGACUCGCAUGCUCUUGACCCACACUUGUUUACUCAGGUGGUCCGUGCGUCAUUAUAGGCUUUUGCUUGACCUCCCAUCUUUUAGCUAUCCUUUGAAAGCAACGAACGUGACCGCAACCUCUUGUUGCCUUCGUUUAACAUCCUACUGGCCUUUAUUGCGCUUGGUGGGUAUUGAGGGCUUCACUCAUUCACUUGAGUAAACUAGAGGGACCGCUGUCUACUUCUUAAACCAGAGGAAGGUUGCGGCAAUAACAGGUCUGUGAUGCCCUUAGAUGUUCCGGGCUGCACACGUGCUACAAUGAUUGUGGCAGUGAGCAUCUAUGAGAUUUACUUACAUGAGUUCGUGAAGUGUGCUUCGGCUCACGGAUCGACUCUAAAAGCCUGCUUUGAGAGCAAGUGGGUAAUCAAUUAGAAGUAACGAUUUCUUCGCAUUAGCACACUUAUAUGCGGCGUUUAUGCCCGGGUUUCACUUGUUGAUGCCUCUGCGUGCGUAGAUGUUGUUGGGUUUUACGACUCGCAUUUACCGCAUGUGCAAUUGUCAAUUCAUGGUGGGGACAGACCAUUGUUAAUUGUUGGUCUCGGUCUUAACUAGGAAUGCCUUGUACGAGUCUUUGGUUCAACAGACCACUCGGAAUAUGUCCCUGCCCUUUGUACACACCGCCCGUCGCUCUUACCGAUGGACUUCUCUGUGAGUUUGAGGGACUGGAGCUUGAGCUUCGGCUUGAAUUCUAUGGAAACUUAAACGAA
rnacentral:rRNA from 1 species